AGGAGGAACAACCGCAGUGGCGGGGCCAGCUCUGGAAACCUGGAUUCAGCCCCCACAGUAACUCCGGAGCUCUCCGUCUGCAGGGCCUGGAGGCUCCGGGGCGGG
rfam:Canis lupus familiaris chromosome 2, whole genome shotgun sequence.